rnacentral:rRNA from 1 species
AUGACUGGCAUGGCGGUGGCGCGGCUCGCCGUGGCCCUCCUACUGCUGGCGACGGGCUGUGCGGGGCGCGACAUCGUCGUCGGCGGCCGCGGCGGGUGGACGGCGAACCCCGCCGAGCCGUUCAACCACUGGGCCGAGCGCAAUCGCUUCCAGGUCAACGACCGCCUCGUGUUUAGGUACAAAGGGCAAGAGGACUCGGUGCUGGUGGUGAGCCAGAGCCACUACGAUGCAUGCAACACCAGCGACCCCUUCAUGCGCCUCGGCGGUGGCGAAUCCGGCUUCGUCCUCUCCCACUCCGGCCCUUACUUCUUCAUUAGCGGCGACGCCGCACGCUGCCAGGCCGGUGAGCGCCUCAUCGUCGUCGUCCUCGCCGUGCGUACCCCUUCGCCUGCUCCUUCAACACCGCCGCCACCACCCAAGUCACCCCCCUCGUCGCCGCCUCCCGCUCCGGCAGCUGCGGGGAAUUCUUCUACGUCGCCACCACCGGCGCUAGCUCCGCCGGCUGCGGGAAAUUCUUCCACGUCGCCACCACCAGCGCUUGCGCCGCCGGCUGCGGGAAAUUCUUCCACUUCGCCGCCUCCGGCGCUAGCGCCGCCGGCUGCGGGGAAUUCUUCCACGUCGCCACCUCCAGCAAUAGCGCCGCCGCCGGUAACGAAUGGUACGGUGUCGCCACCGCCGAGUUCGCCAUCGUGCGCGUCAGCCUUGCGGGGCGGUUUCUUGGCGUGCCUCGUGAUAGCCGGAACCAUAGUGCUAGCUUGA